GCCAGUGGGGUGUAGUGGUUUGAACGUUGGAUUACAACUCUGGAGACCAGGGUUUGAAUCCCUGCUCAGCCG
rnacentral:tRNA from 1 species